rnacentral:rRNA from 1 species
CGUAACGCGUAUGCAACCUACCUCUUACAGUGGGAUAGCCCAGAGAAAUUUGGAUUAAUACCGCAUAGUAUAUAGAUACAGCAUUGUGACUAUAUUAAACAUUCAUGGGUAAGAGAUGGGCAUGCGUUCUAUUAGUUAGUUGGAGUGGUAACGGCACCCCAAGACAGCGAUAGAUAGGGGCCCUGAGAGGGGGGAUCCCCCACACUGGUACUGAGACACGGACCAG